rnacentral:rRNA from 1 species
CAGUCGCCGCGGUAAUACGAGGGGGGCAAGCGUUGUUCGGAAUUAUUGGGCGUAAAGGGCGCGUAGGCGGUUUGGCAAGUUUGGUGUGAAAUCUUCGGGCUCAACUCGAAGUCUGCAUCGAAAACUGUCGGGCUUGAGUAUGGGAGAGGUGAGUGGAAUUUCCGGUGUAGCGGUGAAAUGCGUAGAUAUCGGAAGGAACACCUGUGGCGAAAGCGGCUCACUGGACCAUAACUGACGCUGAGGCGCGAAAGCUAGGGGAGCAAACAGGAUUAGAUACCCCGGUAGUCCCUGUCUCUUAUAC